rnacentral:lncRNA from 1 species
UUAAAUUGAAAUCUUUGAGCUUUUAUGGUUCACAUUGCCGUUGUGAGCGGGCUGCAGUUCAUUGCUCUGCUGGCUGUGCCUCUUCACAGAGGGCUGAAGUUGGUUGCACACGGAAGAUGAUAAAUAAAUAACAUUAAAGCAAAGUAAAUUGUGAAACACGGGUUGGCUUCAGCCUCGAAGGUGGUUCGGCCCGUCUUUUUCACAGCCUUCGUGAACUGAAGUUUAUGUACGUCCAGGAUGGCUUUAUGGAUAAAUCUCAUUGACUUUGGACUAUUCAUGCAUCACCUCGACUGGCGUUUGGAUUAUUGGACGCCGACAGCAAGGUUCGCAUACGUGUCGAGCAUCGUCCCGCGCCAGGCACAUCGUAGGCGUGUGACCCACUGCAUUCGUUUUGCUUCUAGACGAUUGUGGCCACCUGUACCACGUGUUGCCGCAAAUGACCCAGAUGAACCCAAUGCCAGCCAUAAUAAGCUUGAAAUGGCUGGAUCAUGCAUGAAUCUGAGUUCCCCCAAAAAUUCCCACCGCCAAGGCCUUGCCAGUAAGCAGUAAUUCGCUGUGCGUGGGUAUCUUAAGGGAUGGAGGGAGGGAUGGAGGGAGGGGUGGAUGUCUGGAAGGAGGGGGGAAAUGUUUGGAGGGAUGGAGGGGGGUAAAUGUCUGGAAGGAAGUUUUAGCUUACCGUGCAGUUUUGGGUGCGUCUGCUGUGAGCUUUUGUACGCCAAUUAUAAAGCAGGAUGCAACGCAGGCAGCAGGAACGUUUAUACUUUCACGAGCUAGCUACUUUCUCUCUAUAUAUAUGCAAUAUUCAAGCCCAACUUGGCUUUGAAAGCCCAAGCCUGCUGCUGUGCCAAAGGCAAGCCUAAGCUGAUAAGCCGCCUGUGCCAAAGCCAAAGCCUGCUAGCUGCGCCUAUAAUCAAAACUCGAAGCUUGAUUCCUUCCUUCUUUCCUGCUGUUGUGCUGGACGUUAUUGUUAUUAUCAUCAGCAUGCAUUCAUCACAGCAGGUUGCUUUCUGCUGUUUGUGUCUUCUGCUUUAUCAGGGCAGCUAACGAACCUAACCGAAAAGCCAUAUUCCCGACUUUCGCUUCGGUUACAGGGAACGAGCCGAAACUUGACCAGGUCUGCGGAAACUUUUCGUAAUCGGGAGGCCCUUUGCGGAAAGGCUGCGGAAACUGCGGAAAGCUGCGAAAAUUAUAAAAUGAAUAUGUAAUGAUGUUUUUUAGCUCUUCUCAGUGUGGCGAUAACUUGGACAGUCUGAAACCAGCUUGUGGCAGUGCGGUUCUGUCCGGUGGGAUCUAGAAUCUGGUGGAUUCCAAUCGUGCUCGAAGGUAGAGCCAUCUAAAC